rnacentral:rRNA from 1 species
AGCAGCCGCGGUAAUUCCAGCUCCAAUAGCGUAUAUUAAAGUUGUUGCAGUUAAAAAGCUCGUAGUUGAAUUUCGGGAUCAAUAUAUCGGUCGUGCCUUGGUACGUACUGGUAUCAUUGGUUUCUCCUUUCUGACGAACCAUGAUGUCAUUAAUUUGGUGUUAUGGGAAGUUAGGACUGUUACUUUGAAAAAAUUAGAGUGUUUAAAGCAGGCUUUAGCUUGAAUACAUUAGCAUGGAAUAAUGAAAUAGGACGUUCGAACCUAUUUUGUUGGUUUCUAGGAUCAACGUAAUGAUUAAUAGGGAUAGUUGGGGGCAUUAGUAUUCAAUUGUCAGAGGUGAAAUUCUUGGAUUUAUUGAAGACUAACUACUGCGAAAGCAUUUGCCAAGGAUGUUUUCAUUAAUCAAGAACGAAAGUUAGGGGAUCGAAGACGAUCAGAUACCGUCGUAGUCUUAACCAUAAACCUAUGCCGAC